rnacentral:rRNA from 1 species
UGGGGAAUAUUGGACAAUGGGCGCAAGCCUGAUCCAGCCAUGCCGCGUGAGUGAUGAAGGCCCUAGGGUUGUAAAGCUCUUUCACCGGUGAAGAUAAUGACGGUAACCGGAGAAGAAGCCCCGGCUAACUUCGUGCCAGCAGCCGCGGUAAUACGAAGGGGGCUAGCGUUGUUCGGAUUUACUGGGCGUAAAGCGCACGUAGGCGGACUUUUAAGUCAGGGGUGAAAUCCCGGGGCUCAACCCCGGAACUGCCUUUGAUACUGGAAGUCUGGAGUAUGGUAGAGGUGAGUGGAAUUCCGAGUGUAGAGGUGAAAUUCGUAGAUAUUCGGAGGAACACCAGUGGGGAAGGCGGCUCACUGGACCAUUACUGACGCUGAGGUGCGAAAGCGUGGGGAGCAAACAGG